rnacentral:tRNA from 1 species
GCCGUGAUCGUCUAGUGGUUAAAACAUUGCGUUGUGGCCGCAAUAACCCAGGUUCGCAUCCUGGUCACGGCA